GUUGCUGGUGCAGUCCUUGUUUAGAUGGUGUGGGUAGUGAUUGAGCCUGAAAAAGGAGUCAUUUUCGACGUCCCUGAUCAGCCUACUGAACACUGAUGUGUCUGGGACCCACAAUCCCUCACCAAUCAAAUCCAGAAUCUCACAUGCCAAAUCCUUCAUUGCUUCAAUAUACCCACUCACUGCAGAGCUGUAAAAUGUACCACAAAAAUACCCACUCAAUUCAUCAGCAGCAAGCAGACUUACAACUCUGACUCCGACCAUUUUUCUUUUUCUUCUGUUUUUUUAAAAUAAUAAUAAUAAUAAUAAUAAUAAAGUCAUUGCAACUGACUGGGGCAUCUUCCAUCUAAUUCUGGAAGCUGUUUCCUUUUUAGGCCCAUUUAAAAUUCAUAUUUCUCUUUCAAAAACCCAACAAUAAAAUUAUAAUAAUGAUAAUAAUUUAGUUUUUUUUUUUAUUUGGUAUGAUUAGACGUUUCUUGAUGUGCCACUGCCACUGCCACUGCCUCUGCCUCUGCCUCUGACUUGUCAUUCUGAUUUCCCAAUUUUCAAUAUUAUAAUAGUGCAACAGUAUUGUACUGGAUUUCACUCUCUUCUCAUUUCCUAAUUCAAUAAUGGAGAAACACAUGCAGCUCUCCUCUCCCCCACUCGCCGUAUACAUUGCGUGUGGGAAAUAUGUGCUUGUGUUAAAAGAUCCUAAAUUUAUUUGUUUUUUUCUUCAAAUUCUACAAUUUAAUUGACAGCUUAUCCCAUCAUCCAGGAGAGAAUCAUCUCCCUAGAUUAGUUCCCAUGUGACCUUUGAAAGUUGGUACGAUUUUAACAAUUCACGUGAAAAAUGGUUAUUACAUUUCUUCGUGUUUAUUUACGGAGCCCACUAAUAUAAUGAAUCUCACUUCUGAUACACAAGGUGAUAUGACUAGUAUUCUUGUUAUUUUUCAUUUUAAUUUCUACUAACAUGCGCUAGAAGAAGUCAUUCAAAAAUAAAAACAACCGAGAACAAGCAGAGAAAUUGAAAUGAAUUCAAAGAAGUAGAAAAAAACCAAGAUGGGAAAAAGAGUGAAUGCCUAGUAAAUAAUGAACAGUUUGUCCCUAACCCUACACCAAAAUUUGUUGCCCCUUCCCCCGACCGUCUUUCAUUUAAUAUAUUCUAGCUAAAAAGUACCUUCAUCAUAAGGAAUGAAAAACCCAAGGAGGUAAAAAAGCAUAAAACUAAAACAUGCAAAAAGAACCAAAAAAAAAUGUAAAGAAAUAAAUAAUUGAUGUACCUGAAUUUGGUAGGCUCAUUUGAGAUUGUUUUGGAUCUUUGAGCAACGGAGAUUGGGUUUGUGUUGAACAAAAGGUAUUCAACCUCUCCCAUAUCACCAUUGAAGCCUAUGGUCUUGCAGCCAUAACCGAGGGGAAUGGCUGGCCCGGCUCUUUGCUUCUCGGCCAUUGUUUUGGCAAAGAAGCUGAGGCUUUGCUCCUCCAGUUUGGCUACAAUGUCUUGAGGGACGCCGUGGUUGAUGACCUUGAAGAAACCGUAGUCCUCACAAGCUUUGACAAUGAGAUUCCUCACUUGGGACCUCUCGGCCGAAAGGUCGAUGACGGGGAGUUCAAUGGCCUCGAUCUUUUCAUUGUGAAUUGGGUUUGGAGAGGCUGCCACCAUGGUUGUAAAUUUGCUUAAUUUGGAGCUGCAAAUAUCUAAUAAUCUAAGAGAUAUGGG
rnacentral:lncRNA from 1 species